UUCCCAUUUUGUACUUCAGUCGCUGUUUCCAGCCGUAGCAGCCAUUGAAUGAGCCAGGCUCUUUUAAACAAGGGUGCUUUUUGAUUAAGGCCUCUGCAACUGUGCAGAAAUGUGCAUCCUCCGGGUAGGCCUUAUAUCGGAAAAUUGAGGAAUUGGAAAUUCCUCUGGCCACUGCUUGGUUCGAGAUGACAGAGACUCGGGGGAUGAAAGCAGUAUAGUGUCGUUUGAUGCCAGUGAAACACAGUCAUCCGACUCGGAUGAAACAGAAGCAGAGGAUGCAGUGGCACUGAUCAACGUUGUUUGCUGGAUGACCUUGAUUGUCCCCAAAUCCUGGAGUUCAGCAGUAGAGUUCAGAUUGAAAAAGUCAUUGCCAAAAUCUUGGUCCAUGUACUGCAGUUUCAAGCUGCACUUUAAUCCGAACGUACUCCUUAUCGUGCCGAUAAGGUCAUCUAGUGACUCUGGUAUUCCAUUGGGAAGUGUCAGUUUUUCAAUGUUGUUGUCCCUCAAAAUCAGAGAGACGCCGAGAUCGUUUAAUGGCCUGUGGCAUGUGCCACCGCGACCACUGACAUACCAUGGCAUAUGCCGUUCUGGAACGGUAACUGCCGUUCUGAAACGGUAACUGCCGUCGCGACCACAGACAUACCAUGGCAUAUGCCGUUCUGGAACGGUAACUGCCAUUCUGAAACGGUAACUACCGUUCUGAAACGGUAACUGCCGUCGCGACCACUGACAUACCAUGGCAUAUGCCGUUCUGGAACGGUAACUGCCGUUCUGAAACGGUAACUACCGUUCUGAAACGGUAAUGCCAUGGCAUAUGCCUUUCUGGAACGGUAACUACCGUUCUGAAACGGUAACUGCCGUUCAGGUGGAACGGUAACUGCAGUUCCCAACAAUGGUAUGUGACACCAGCAUAACUCCUCCGUAUAAUUUCAAGACAGGUAUUGCCAUAAAUGUAAAGGUAUAUAUUUGGUAUUUAUUGACACAAUAUCACAACAUAACGCCGUAAAUAAAGGGAUUUACACGUU